rnacentral:rRNA from 1 species
AUUGAACGCUGGCGGCAGGCUUAAUACAUGCAAGUCGAGCGGAGCGGCGGACGGGUGAGCAAUGCUUAGGAAUCUGCCUAUUCGUGGGUGACAACACCCCGAAAUGGAUGCUAAAACCGCAUACUCAUAGAUGAGCCUAAGUCGGAUUAGCUAGUUGGUGGGGUAAAGGACUACCAAGGGGACGAUCGGUAGCGGGUCUGAGAGGAUGAUCCGCCACACUGGGACUGAGUCACGGCCCAGACUCCUACGGGAGGCAGCAGUGGGGAAUAUUGGACAAUGGGGGGAACCCUGAUCCAGCCAUGCCGCGUGUGUGAAGAAGGCCUUAUGGUUGUAAAGCACUUUAAGCGAGGAGGCGUUACUCGCAGAAUAAGCACCGGCUAACUCUGUGCCAGCAGCCGCGGUAAUUC